rnacentral:rRNA from 1 species
CCUACGGGAGGCAGCAGUAGGGAAUCUUCCACAAUGGGCGAAAGCCUGAUGGAGCAACACCGCGUGGGUGAAGAAGGUCUUCGGAUCGUAAAACCCUGUUGUUAGAGAAGAAAGUGCGUGAGAGUAACUGUUCACGUUUCGACGGUAUCUAACCAGAAAGCCACGGCUAACUACGUGCCAGCAGCCGCGGUAAUACGUCGGUGGCAAGCGUUAUCCGGAUUUAUUGGGCGUAAAGGGAACGCAGUCGGUCUUUUAAGUCUGAUGUGAAAGCCUUCGGCUUAACCGGAGUAGUGCAUUGGAAACUGGGAGACGUGAGUGCAGAAGAGGAGAGUGGAACUCCAUGUGUAGCGGGGAAAUGCGUAGAUAUAUGGAAGAACACCAGUGGCGAAAGCGGCUCUCUGGUCUGUAACUCACGCUGAGGUUCGAAAGCGUGGGUAGCAAACAGGAUUAGAUACCCUUGUAGUC